UACGAAGGGGGCUAGCGUUGCUCGGAAUGACUGGGCGUAAAGGGCGCGUAGGCGGACGGCUUUGUCGGGCGUGAAAUUCCAGGGCUUAACCUUGGGGCUGCGUUCGAGACGGGUUGUCUAGAGUUUGGAAGAGGGUCGUGGAAUUCCCAGUGUAGAGGUGAAAUUCGUAGAUAUUGGGAAGAACACCGGUGGCGAAGGCGGCGACCUGGUCCUUGACUGACGCUGAGGCGCGAAAGCGUGGGGGAGCAAACAGG
rnacentral:rRNA from 1 species